rnacentral:rRNA from 1 species
AUUGAACGCUGGCGGCAGGCCUAACACAUGCAAGUCGAGCGGAGCGGCGGACGGGUGAGUAAUGCCUAGGAAUCUUCCUGGUAGUGGGGGAUAACGUCCGGGAACGGGCGCUAAUACCGCAUAAUAUCAGAUGAGCCUAGGUCGGAUUAGCUGGUUGGUGGGGUAAAGGCCUACAAAGGCGACGAUCCGUAACUGGUCUGAGAGGAGGAUCAGUCACACUGGAACUGAGACACUGUCCAGACUCCCACGGUAGGCAGCAGUGGGGAAUAUUGGACAAUGGGCGCAAGCCUGAUCCAGCCAUGCCGCGUGUGUGAAGAAGGUCUUCGGAGUUUAAAGCACUUUAAGUUGGGAGGCGUUACCAACAGAAUAAGCACCGGCUAACUUCGUGCCAGCAGCCGCGGUAAUUC